rnacentral:misc_RNA from 1 species
AUGUUGUGCAGCUGGGGAAACUGAUUAGUGGAGAAGUGAAGAUAUCGUUUCUUGCUUGUGGUAUGAUGUAAGUUGGCAAUUGACAAGUUAACCUCUCCCAGUUCCUUUAAUCAUCCUAAUAGGUGGCACGGGUAUUUUUAUACUUUUGCUUUUAAGUUGGUAUUAGCCAUCGAAAGGUUAUGUUGUUAUAAACUUUGGUUGAAGAUGUUGUGUAGCUGGGGAAACUGAUUGGUGAAGUGAAGAUAUCGUUUCUUGCUUGUGGCAAGAUGUUGCGGACUUCUAAGAAACGAAUCGAUAUUUAGUUUCUGCGACGUCUUUCGCGUGAAAGGAAAUUCGAGAAAGGAACGUGGGAAGAAGUUGGCUAUCCAUGGCAUCGCUAAUUGUACAGGAGGAACGAAGACCAGCGUGUUGCGUAAACGUGCAGAAGUAGCGGAAAACGUGAAAGCGGCCAAACGAUUAAUUUAUUUCCAGGCAAUCUACCACGGAUUUGUUACGACAAUUAUCAUAAAACUACGAAAAGAGGAACGCGCUAAUAAUAAAA